GCCCCUCCCAAGAGCCUGUGCUUAGUUGGAAUAUUAUAAAAGGUUCUCUGGCUGUACAGUGCUCAGUUCACUGCCUAGCAGGUGGCACGUUCCAGUUGAAGAACUGAGUCUUCCAGUGGAACCAGGGUCUGGUUCUCUGUGAGGAGCUCCGAGAUGUCUCAGCAGUACGCCUCUUCCGCCAAAGGCUUUUCCAAGGGGUCUUCCCAGGGCCCGACUCCUUGCCCCGCCCCGGCGCCCGCCCCGGCGCCCUCCUCCUCCUCCUCUUGCUGCGGCGGAGGCUGCUGCGGCUCCAGCUCCAGCGGGGGCUGCUGCGGAGGCGGCUGCGGCGGCGACUCGGGAUGCUGUGGCUCCAGCUCCACCGGCUGCUGCUGCUUUCCAAGGAGGCGCCGCCGGCAGCGCGGAGGCGGCUGCUGUUGCUGUGGGGGAGGCAGCCAGAGAUCUCAGUGCUCCAGCAACAACCAGAGCUCCGGCUGCUGCUCCGGCGGCUGCUGAAACAGCCCGGUCAGAACAGCUGCAUCAGAGCGACUCGCCGAGCCGAGAGCGGCCCCAACGCCUGCUGCUCCCCACCCUUCUGCUCCCCGUAAUAAAAACAGCUCCCGCGAGGGCUGGGCCUCGGAGUUUGUCCCCUCCCAAAGCGAAUUGCACUUUGAUGUCGAGAAGCCCACUCUGUUCUCAGCUCCACGGAAUUCCCUUAACCCCGAAGUGAUUUUCCUCUGUGGGGAUCAAGAGCUUUGGAGAGGAUACCGGACCCUACUUUCUGCAGGGGCUUGCUUGCUCACAGCAGGUGCCUACUGAAUUAAUUGUCCUUUGAAGACAUCAUAAUAAAGCUUCUACCUCCUGA